UCCAGACUCCUACGGGAGGCAGCAGUGGGGAAUAUUGCACAAUGGGCGAAAGCCUGAUGCAGCAACGCCGCGUGAAGGAAGAAGGGUUUCGGCUCGUAAACUUCUAUCAACAGGGACGAAAGAAAUGACGGUACCUGAAUAAGAAGCCCCGGCUAACUACGUGCCAGCAGCCGCGGUAAUACGGAGGAUGCGAGCGUUAUCCGGAUUUAUUGGGUUUAAAGGGUGCGUAGGCGGAAGGUUAAGUCAGCGGUCAAAUGUCGGUGCUCAACCCCGGCCUGCCGUUGAAACUGGUCUUCUUGAGUGAGCGAGAAGUAUGCGGAAUGCGUGGUGUAGCGGUGAAAUGCAUAGAUAUCACGCAGAACUCCGAUUGCGAAGGCAGCAUACCGGCGCUCAACUGACGCUGAGGCACGAAAGCGUGGGGAUCGAACAGGAUUAGAUACCCUCGUAG
rnacentral:rRNA from 1 species